AUUAUUUUGAUCUUUCUUCUCUUUUUGAUUUUGUUGAGUUAUAAAUAUGAAUUCUCAUUUGACUAUGCGUCCUUGAUUCAGUUAUGCUUUGUUCUUGACCUUCAUACUUUUGUGGCACAUCUAGGCAUGGGUCAUUGACUUAAACUUCCUGAUUAUUGCUUUUUAUGUAUUUAAUAAUUACCAGAUGGUCAGUUAUGACAUUUUGUUAUUAAGUUUGACUUUAUUGCCUUUUCUCUUUUUCAUAAUUUUUGCAGAAUCCUUUUUAGUAGACAUACUAUAGUAUUUACUAUCAGACAUCUAAGAACUCUUUGUACCAAGAGCAUGUGUAGGUUAUCUUGCACUGUUCCUCCAUCUUUCAUUCACUUAAAAAAUACUUGAGUGACUACUAAGUGUCAUUAUUUUUCAGAUGAGAAUAAGACAGGCAAGAUCUCUUCUGGCUCAUCAAUAUUAUAUCUGUAUUUCACCCCAUAGAAAGGAGGAAGAAAGGAGUUUGGAAUUAGUGGCUUUGCAUUUAGAAGUCACUUGGAAGUUGCACACAGAUAAGUUCUGCUCACAUGCUUAGCCCAAACUUAGUCAUGUGGUUUUACCUCCUUAGAACAAAAGUGGCAUUCAUGUACCCUUAAAACUUGGUGGAAGAGAUUAUUAUUUAAAAGAAAACAGAGAAUAAGGAGAUAUCUUCACACUGGAUUUUAAAUACAAGACUCAUAAAUUCUGAUCUGCAUCCUAAAAACUUCAUUCUAAUAGCCUUGUGGAUAACAGAGUUCAGUGGAGCAAAAGUAGAAAUUUGAAACCAGUUAGAAGGCUAUUUGCAGUUGCUUAGGUGGUUGACUAUGGCGGUUACUUGGGUGUUGGCAUGACACACAUUGAAUCUUAACCAGUAACAUGUUAAAGUCUCACUUGGAAAAUAAAAUCAUUGUAAAAUUUAAUAAAAUAUAGACGAUUACAGCUGCCUUUACAUAAUCAUUAUUUCCUCUACCUGGAGGCUGAUGGUAUUAUUAUAUAUACAAUGGUUUUACAAGUAAAUACAAUAAUUUACUUUUGGUUUUAUUUUGGCCACCAAGCUAAUGAGUCUGAUUGGCUUUAUAACAUGAUAUUAGCUGAAAAACGAGUUCGCAAGUUUUUGGCAUAUUGCGAGUGAGAGAUGAUAGUGACUGGACUAAGACUGUAGUAGUGUGGAUUGAGAAAAAAAGGAAAAAUUGGGAUUUACAGUAUUAAGGGAUAUAGUCAACAGAACUGGCAGAUGGAAUGUGGGAGGUAAGAACAAGAGAAAUUAAAAAUGGCUCGUAGGUUUUAGCCUUUAUCAAUUUGGUGAGUAUUUCUGCCAUUUACUGAGACAUAGAAAAUGGAGAAGAAAUGGGUUUCCAGGGGUGAGUUGAAAUCAAGAUUUACAUUUUGGUCAUCGUAGGUUUAAGGUAUCAAAUAAAAAACAAAAUGAAUGUUCAAUAGUUGAUUAAAUAUAGAAGCCUGGGGUUUAGGUGUCAGGUUAAGAGAAAGAUAAUCUAUAAACUGGGAGUUCAUACUACAGAGAUGCCCCUCAGAAUUUUGAAGGAUUAGGCUAGGUAAAUAAACCCAGGAGAAAGUGAAAAGUUCCAGGGAAUGUGUCCUAUAGCAAUAAGAAUAAUAAUGAAGUCUCAGAGUGAGUAGGCUUGGCUUACUUGCUGAGCUGGUAGCUCUACCUUUGGUAGCAUUCACAGAUGGAGAGGUACUCCUCUCCACAAAAUACUUAAAUUUUUAUGGUGACUACAUAGUUAAGUGGAUAAUGGCAGCUGUGGAUAGGGAUGUCCUAGAAUUCUUUUUAGAAAGAGCCACCUAAAAGAAUAUGCAGUUGAUAAGCCUUCAGCUUCUGCCCUUUGCUUACCCUACAUUGUUUUGCACUAUGAUGUCUGAUGUCUCUCUUCUUAACUCCUAGACCUGUUCACUGAGACCUGGUAAACGUUCAAGUUCAUCACAGAGGGAAAGUAAGAAUUGGAUGGCCUCCCUCUCAUUUUGUAACACCUUGGACUAAAAGUGGAUCUAUUUUUAACAACUUCAGUAAAGUAUGAUGGCUGUGAAGCGGGAGAAUCCCAGAUGGCUGUGGAGAACAUCUCCUGGUCUGCUUCUCUCUCUGUUUACUCCACACUGCCAACUGAUGCACUUGAAAACCUUUCAAAUCUCAUUCACAACCUACCUUCAUCCCAAAGUCAUUAUCGAUGAUUUCAAUACUUUUAUUUUUUCUGGUUCAUAAUUCUGUCAUUCUACAAACAUGCACUGCUAUUCUGAGUUUUUGUAUUCUUCUGAACUUGUACAGCUUUCUCUCAAGAAGAAAUAGGGACAGAGUUCCAGACUAUUAUGGCUACUGAUACUUCCAUGUAUCCUUUUCUGGAAAUCCUGUGGAAUUAGGGAUUUAUCCUCUAAAAUAUAAAUAUUUUUUUUUCUCCCAGAACAUACACUCUUUUGAAGUCUGGGGUAUCCCUCUGUAGCAAGCAUUUACUCAUCAAUUUUCACUCCCACUUCAGUAGAGCCUUUUCUGUAACCUGGGUUCUUUGAUAAAUGUAUUUUAUCUUCAUUUUUAUCUGAAAGAGCCAAGUUCAUGAUCAAAGUUGGGACGUCAGAUACCCUGGUACCUUGAAGAAGAAAACAGUUCUGGGUUUUAUUUGCAGUACAUUUUUCUGUGAUUAGUUCAUAUCUUUUUUCUUAGCAGGACUAAGAAUGUGGGAUAUAUAUUUUUUAGCUACUGAAAACAUCACUCAUUGAAUGAACCAAAAAAGAUAAAAGUUAAA